UUAAGAGAAGCACAGCACAUGACGUGUCAGUUUGCCAAGCAGAAGAAAAUGUCUCCAUGCGGCAGCUGUAGAGCACAGAGCGUUUCCCAGGUUCCUCCUCCCCUGGUGUUAGGUGAACGCUGCUGGUACAGUGCCUGAAGAAGCCUAAAAAGCUACAGAAAAGCCAAGAAAUACACCCCAAGUACUGCAUUAAAAUGAAACAUCCCAAGAGACAGUAUGUCUGGGCAAAAAGUAGGCCCAGAGAGCGGCACAUGGCUUGAAGCACUGCAACAUCCCUUCGGACUUGAGACUUGGAACCGCCCUUGAUGAGCCAGUCAUCGAGGUACAGGUAGAUCUGGAUACCCUGGCACCUGAGGGCCCCACCACUGAAGAGCAGAUCCUGCAAUGACUUUUGGGCCUCAGUGGACAACCCAGAGAGGAGCUGCCAAGAGACUCGCCGCAUGGAGAUAGUGGAAGCCAUGGUACAGGCAGCAGUCGAGUCCUCAUCAAGGAUCACUCGGAACUCCUCCUUGGAAGCCUCAGGGAGCAACCCUUUGAACUUGGCCAUGGCUUGCCACAUAUUGAAGUCAUAUUGGCCAAGGAGGGCUUGGUGAUUGGCUACUCUCAGCUGAAGGCUGGAAGAUUAAUAAGCCUUUCGACCGAAAAGAUCCAGCUUCCAUGAGUCUUUAUUUUUGGGGCUGGCCCCGGGUUGUCCCUGCCUCCUCUUGUGGUUCACCACCUCAACCACAAGAGAAUUGGGGGCUGGGUGGGAGUAUAGGUACUCACGCCCUUUGGUCGGCAUGAAGUACCCACUUUUAGAGAUGGGCCAAGGAAGAGGUGGCCUGGCACAGGGCAUUAGUGAUUUUGGAGACCCCCUUCAUGAAGGGGUAGGACCACCCUGGUGGGAGCUGAAGAACAUAGGACAUCAAACAGAAUCCAAGGACUCUUCCAGUUCCUCUGCCUGAAGCACCAGGUUAGAAGCAACCCUCUUCAAAAGUUCCUGGUGUGCUCUGGUGUUAUCCUGAGGAACCAAGUGAGAGGGCCCUGUGAUAGCCUCGUCUGGUUCCAAUGAGGAUGAUGCGGGAACCUCCAUGUCCAUUGGUGGUCUAGCAGCUUGGUCCCCUGGGUCUUCCUGGACCUGCAAGGUCUUAUCCCCUGAAGCCUCGAGCACCAGAGGGGGGUGGGAUACUGAGGCCACUGGCCUCUCCGAGGCUCCCAACACUGAUCGGGCAGCCUGGGAAGGUUGGGCGAACCCCCAGGGAUUCCACGGGUAUCAUGGUGCCGGCCACUGCACUUAGGGCCAUGGGGCAGGUUUCGGUGCUGAUAAUGUAGUCGGCACUGCCGGUACUGGGGCUUGUCCUGCAGUCAGGGAACCUCACUCUGAGCCAGAGCUACCAGCAGAGUAGUCAGUACUGGGUGACGAGGAUUGGGGUGAGCAGUGGUUCUUGUCUGACCGGUGCUGGUGCUGCAUCCUGAAGCCGACCUGUCUGAGCGAGAUUGUCUUGGUUGGGCUCUCGGGGACCGACAGCAUUUGGCAGAUCUGCGUCUGAUACCUGGUUAUCCACACCUCACGCUACUUGACCGGUACUAUGGGCUGGUUGCCAGGAGGAUCAUCCUGAGUAGGGCCAUCUCCUUCUUGGAGACGGGCGAUGAUGGCCCAGCGAUCGGUGAUCUCUGGUGCCUGAUUGGUCCCAGGAUCAGUACCAGGCCCUUGGAGAUAGUCAGGGCCAGUCCCGAAGUUCUUGCUGGGUGGUACGUGCCCCAGAGGGUCUGCGCCAUUCCACCAGCGAGGUACGCCUUGAGUCUCUUGAUCGGUGUCCCUGAUGUGGGCUCAGCUUAUUUAUGUCACCUGAAAGUGAGUACAGGUGUUCGCAUUGCACUGUUGUAGCUGCCAUUGCAAG